GCAUAACGCGAAGAACCUUACCUACCCUUGACAUGUCAGAGAUCCCUGAGAGAUUGGGGAGUGCCGCAAGGAAUCUGAACACAGGUGCUGCAUGGCUGUCGUCAGCUCGUGUCGUGAGAUGUUGGGUUAAGUCCCGCAACGAGCGCAACCCUUGUCGUUAAUUGCCAUCAUUUGGUUGGGCACUUUAACGAGACUGCCGGUGACAAACCGGAGGAAGGUGGGGAUGACGUCAAGUCCCCAUGGCCCUUAUGGGUAGGGCUUCACACGUCAUACAAUGGUCGGUACAGAGGGUUGCGAAGCCGCGAGGUGGAGCCAAUCCCAGAAAGCCGAUCGUAGUCCGGAUUGGAGGCUGCAACUCGCCUCCAUGAAGUUGGAAUCGCUAGUAAUGGCGCAUCAUCUACGGCGCCGUGAAUACGUUCCCGGGUCUUGUACACACCG
rnacentral:rRNA from 1 species